rnacentral:siRNA from 1 species
AACCCAACUGGACGCGACCCGAAC